UAGAAAGUUACUUCGGUACAUCGGUGACAGGUGGUGCAUGGUUGUCGUCAGCUCGUGUCGUGAGAUGUUGGGUUAAGUCCCGCAACGAGCGCAACCCCUAUUGUUAGUUGCCAUCAUUCAGUUUGGGCACUCUAGCGAGACUGCCGGUAAUAAACCGGAGGAAGGUGGGAUGACGUCAAAUCAUCAUGCCCCUUAUGACCUGGGCUACACACGUGCUACAAUGGUUGGUACAACGAGUUGCGAGUCGGUGACGGCGAGCUAAUCUCUUAAAGCCAAUCUCAGUUCGGAUUGUAGGCUGCAACUCGCCUACAUGAAGUCGGAAUCGCUAGUAAUCGCGGAUCAGCACGCCGCGGUGAAUACGUUCCCGGGCCUU
rnacentral:rRNA from 1 species